rnacentral:lncRNA from 1 species
AGGUAUAGGUGGAUUGAACAUGAGAUAGAAGACUCGAAAGGAUAACAAAUGACAUUGCAGGUUGAAGUUUCUAUUACCGCAGGAGGCUAUCUCGAGUAGGUCUCAGAUUAGGUAGGUCAUAGUUUAUGACAGAUAUAGGAUCGAGCGGCCUGACUUGACUCCUCUGUUUGUCCAUCCAUGAACAAUCAGAUAUUUACCCUAGGGCAUGGAGG